AGAUUAAACUAAAGAGUUUGAUCCUGGCUCAGAUUGAACGCUGGCGGCAUGCCUUACACAUGCAAGUCGAACGGCAGCACGGAGCUUGCUCUGGUGGCGAGUGGCGAACGG
rnacentral:rRNA from 2 species